AUACAAAAUUCCCAGUUAAAAUGCAUUUCUGAUAUUUUUCAGAAUUUUUUUAGUAUAAGUAUGCCCCAUGCAAUAUUUGGGACAUACUUAUCCUAAAACAUUAUUUGUUGUUCAUCUGAAAUUCAUAUUUAACUGGGUUUCCUCUAUUUU
rnacentral:miRNA from 14 species